rnacentral:rRNA from 1 species
ACAUAGCCCUUGAUCUAAUCAAAGGUGUUACCUGCCCAAUGAUUAAUAAUAAGACAUUAAAAAUCUAAAAAUUAAUUUAAAGGACGCGGUAUCCUGACCGUGAUAAUGUAGCAUAAUCACUCGCCACUUAAUUAGUGGAUAGUAUGAAUGGUAUAACGAAUAUAACACUGUUUUAAUAGAAGAUUUUAUAAAAUUGAGAUAAUAGUUAAGACGCUAUUUAAAAUUGUAAGACGAGAAGACCCUAUAGAGCUUAACUAUAACCCCUUUAAAAACAAAAAAGUUAACUCUUUGAAAAAAAGGGAAUGGUAGUUUAGUUGGGGCGACUAUCUUCUAAAUAUAACGAAGAUGAACAAAGUAAUUAAAACACUUACUGUAUAAUCAAUCUAUUUAACAGUUAUUAACAUAGGUAAUAAAGACCCGUUAUAAAUAAAUAAUAAUAAUAACGAUCAACAAAUAAAAGCUACCUUAGGGAUAACAGGAUAAUCUUGUUCAAGAGAUCUUAUCAAAAACAAGGUUUAUCACCUCUAUGUUGAAUUAAGAUAUCCAAGAAAUGCAGAAGUUUCUAAAGGUAGGUCUGUUCGACCUAUAAAAUCUUACAUGAUUUGAGUUCAUUCCGUCGCAAGACAGGA